UACGUAGGGGGCUAGCGUUGUCCGGAAUCAUUGGGCGUAAAGCGCGCGUAGGCGGCCCGGUAAGUCCGCUGUGAAAGUCCAGGGCUCAACCCUGGAAAGCCGGUGGAUACUGCCGGGCUAGAGUCCGGAAGAGGCGAGUGGAAUUCCUGGUGUAGCGGUGGAAUGCGCAGAUAUCAGGAGGAACACCGAUGGCGAAGGCAGCUCGCUGGGACGGUACUGGACGCUGAGGCGCGAAAGCGUGGGGAGCGAACAGG
rnacentral:rRNA from 1 species